AUUGAACGCUGGCGGCAUGCUUUACACAUGCAAGUCGAACGGCAGCGGGGGCUUCGGCCUGCCGGCGAGUGGCGAACGGGUGAGUAAUGCAUCGGAACGUGCCCAUGUCGUGGGGGAUAACGUAUCGAAAGGUACGCUAAUACCGCAUACGCCCUGAGGGGGAAAGCGGGGGAUUCUUCGGAACCUCGCGCGAUUGGAGCGGCCGAUGUCGGAUUAGCUAGUAGGUGAGGUAAAGGCUCACCUAGGCGACGAUCCGUAGCGGGUCUGAGAGGAUGAUCGGCCACACUGGGACUGAGACACGGCCCAGACUCCUACGGGAGGCAGCAGUGGGGAAUUUUGGACAAUGGGCGCAAGCCUGAUCCAGCCAUGCCGCGUGAGUGAAGAAGGCCUUCGGGUUGUAAAGCUCUUUCGGCCGGGAAGAAAUCGUGUUCUCUAACAUAGGACAUGGAUGACGGUACCGGACUAAGAAGCACCGGCUAACUACGUGCCAGCAGCCGCAGUAAAAC
rnacentral:rRNA from 1 species